CAAGUCGAGUGCGCGUGCCGUAGCAAUACGGUAUGGCGCACGGCGCACGGGUGCGUAACACGUGGGCAAUCUGCCCUCCGAUGGGGAAUAACUCCGGGAAACCGAAGCUAAUUCCGCAUAACAUUCCCUGGACUCCGGUUCGGGGAUUCAAAGCAGCAAUGCGUCGGAGGAGGAGCCCGCGCCCGAUUAGCUAGUUGGUGAGGUAACGGCUCACCAAGGCUAUGAUCGGUAGCUGGUCUGAGAGGAUGGCCAGCCACACUGGAACUGAGACACGGUCCAGACUCCUACGGGAGGCAGCAGUGGGGAAUCUUGCGCAAUGGGCGAAAGCCUGACGCAGCGACGCCGCGUGGGGGAUGAAGCUUCUCGGAGUGUAAACCCCUUUCGACCGGGACGAAUGCCCGCAAGGGAGUGACGGUACCGGUAGAAGAAGCCCCGGCUAACUACGUGCCAGCAGCCGCGGUAAGACGUAGGGGGCCAGCGUUGUUCGGAAUUACUGGGUGAAAAGGGUUCGUAGGCGGUGUGGCAAGUCGGGAGUGAAAUUUCUGGGCUUAACUCAGAACCUGCUUCCGAAACUGCUGUGCUCGAGUGUGGGAGAGGCGCGUGGAAUUGCAGGUGUAGCGGUGAAAUGCGUAGAUAUCUGCAGGAACACCCGUGGCGAAAGCGGCGCGCUGGACCACUACUGACGCUGAGGAACGAAAGCUAGGGGAGCAAACAGGAUUAGAUACCCUGGUAGUCCUAGCCCUAAACGAUCAGGACUUGGGGUGCCACCCGUUCGGGUGUCGUCCCGGAGCUAACGCGUUAAGUCCUGCACCUGGGGAGUACGGUCGCAAGACUGAAACUCAAAGGAAUUGACGGGGGCCCGCACAAGCGGUGGAACAUGUGGUU
rnacentral:rRNA from 1 species